CACCGCCUGGGGAGUACGACCGCAAGGUUAAAACUCAAAUGAAUUGACGGGGACCCGCACAAGUAGUGGAGCAUGUGGUUUAAUUCGAAGAUACGCGCAGAACCUUACCAACACUUGACAUGUUCGUCGCGACUCUAGGAGAUUAGAGUUUUCGGUUCGGCCGGACGAAACACAGGUGCUGCAUGGCUGUCGUCAGCUCGUGUCGUGAGAUGUUGGGUUAAGUCCCGCAACGAGCGCAACCCUCACUUUUAGUUGCCAUCAUUAAGUUGGGCACUCUGAAAGAACUGCCUUUGAUUAUUUUGGAGGAAGGUGGGGAUGACGUCAAGUCCUCAUGGCCCUUACGUGUUGGGCUACACACGUGCUACAAUGGUAUCUACAACAGGAAGCAAGACGGCGACGUUAAGCAAAUCCUUAAAAAGAUACCUCAGUUCGGAUUGCACUCUGCAACUCGAGUGCAUGAAGCUGGAAUUACUAGUAAUCGUGGAUCAGCGUGCCACGGUGAAUGCGUUCCCGGGUCUUGUACACACCGCCCGUCACACCAUGGGAGUUGGUUCUACCUUUAAGGCAAGGUUUCAAACCCUUGACCACGGUAUAGUCAGCGACUGGGGUGAAGUCGUAACAAGGUAGCCGUAGGGGAACCUGCGGCUGGAUUACCUCCUUUCUAAGGAUGAAUGAAAGUAAAAUUUUAUUCUAAAUAAUAUACAGGUAAUGUUGACCGUCCUCAUUUCUCUUCUUAAAAUAGUGUUUCUCUUGCAUGGGGGCCGGUAGCUCAGUUGGUUAGAGCACACCCUUGAUAAGGGUGGGGUCGAAAGUUCGAGUCUUUCUCGGCCCACCAAAUUAAUGGGGGAUUAGCUCAGCUGGGAGAGCGCAUGAUUUGCAUUCAGGAGGUCAGCGGUUCGAUCCCGCUAUCCUCCACCAAGAAACACUUAGCUAUUUUAUUUGUGAAUAUAUUUUUAAUAUUAUCAAUAUCUAUAUCCGAUUGUUCGAAUAGAUGAACAAUCAUGAAUGUUCGAAUAGAUGAACAUUCCAACAAAAUUUGAUUCAACACAGAAUUUUUUUCUG
rnacentral:sRNA from 1 species